rnacentral:misc_RNA from 3 species
CUGAGUACUACACUCUCUACCCUUUGUGAACUAUUAUACCUGUUGCUUCGGCGGCGCCCGCGAGGGUGCCCGCCGGUCUCAUCAGAAUCUCUGUUUUCGAACCCGACGAUACUUCUGAGUGUUCUUAGCGAACUGUCA